AUUCCAGCUCCAAUAGUGUAUAUUAAAGUUGUUGCAGUUAAAAAGCUCGUAGUUGGAUUUCUGGCGGGAGCGAUCGGUCCUUCACUCAGUGUUGGAACCUGAUUGUCUCCUGCCAUCCAUGGAGAAAACUUAUCUGGCAUUAAGUUGUCGGGUAGGCAAUCUCCAUCUUUUACUGUGAAAAAAUUAGAGUGUUCAAAGCAGGCUUAUGCCGUUGAAUAUAUUAGCAUGGAAUAAUAAGAUAGGACUAUGGUACUAUUUUGUUGGUUUGUGGGACUGAAGUAAUGAUUAAUAGGGACAGUUGGGGGCAUUAGUAUUUAAUUGUCAGAGGUAAAAUUCUUGGAUUUAUGAAAGACUAACUACUGCGAAAGCAUUUGCCAAGGAUGUUUUCAUUG
rnacentral:rRNA from 1 species